GUCAAAUCGGAGUCGAAGUAAACAAGCAUAGCAACUGGUUUGUUUGUACUUGCUCAAUUCAAAUCAACUCAACAACAAGUCUUAUCAGUGAAAACUAUUCAUACCGGACAGAACCAGGACGUCAGAUCUGCCCUUUCUUGCUUUAUGGAAGUUCGAUUCUGAUGAUUUUCCUCCUUGUGGUUUCCACUGUAGUUGUUAGAUGGGGCUGCAGGAACCAAAACGCAGCUGAUAGAGCCAAGAAAUAUAAUUUCUCAGAUUCGAGGCAUCGUGACAAAGAAAAGGAG